GUGAGCGAGAGACUGACAGACCUUUGAGGAAGUGGAGGACGGGAGCACAUGGGCGUGGAGAAUAACGGUUUCUCAUUGCUCUUCACAUGUAGCACAACGGAGGGCGAGCCGCACCUUACUGAGCACUGGCAUGACUACUACCACGACCACGGACACCAUGGGCACCAAGGGUCAUGGGCUUUCAACACGACAGCUAGUAUGGUUACAGUGUCCAGCGAGCCCCCUGCCACCAAUGUUUCAGGCCUUGCAGACAACAUUACGGCUGUGAGCAGAACCACAAGAGAUGUGAUCCCUCAGAAGACUGGACUUGGAAACAUCAGUAUGACAACGGGUCCCAUUUCAAUCCCACCAGCGAUCACCCAACCAGCUGUCAACAAGUCAACAACGCCCGAAGCCAGUAAGCCUACAGCAACCAAACCAGAGACAAACUCUUCCCCAACUAUGAAACCCCAAACACCCUGGAAACAAAAAGAAUUUUUCACCAACAAAGAUUUCGACGAGCUGGAUAAACGAUUCACGUAUGAUUACUUUACUCUGCGGAAGGCCGGGCUGGUGGUGGCGGCGGUGCUCUUCCUCCUCGGCCUCCUGGUGCUGGGCUGCGGACCCGGAGGACGCCUGCCAAAAUGCCGCCGUCUGAGGGCCACAAAGUCAUACCAAAUGGAGAAAAAAUGAGGACAGAGUUUCUGCAGAGUUAUGUAAAGUGUAGACUAACUUUGGAGUUGUGUGUGCAGAAAGCAUCAGUAAAGUACAAUUACCUAAAUAAAAUCCUUGCCUGUGUGUGUGUGUGUGUGUGUGUGUGUGUGUGUGUGUGUGUGUGUGCGCGCGCGUGUGUGUGUGUGUGUUGUGUCUGUGCGUGUGUGUUUGUAUGUGUGCAUGACAUGUGUGUGUUUACACAACUGUGUGCACAUGGGUGUGCUUUGUAUGACUAAGCCUCAGCACCAUGAGCCUAAGCCUCAUGCCUAAGAAUGGAAAAACACUGAAGACUUGAAGUCAACAUGAAUAAAACAGACAGGGAAGACUGCAGGACUCUGGUUGACCUCCAUUAAAGUUAGCCUAGCUAACUCAACAUAAUGACACAACUGAGCGUGUCUUCAGUUUAUUUACCAAGCUAACUUAACCUAACUAAAGACAUACAUUUAGUUCAGUUAACCUGCUUUUUGAACCUCCCUAUAGCCACAAGCAUACGUGUCUUUAGUUUACCUAGCUAACUAAAUAUCA
ensembl:lncRNA